GACGAACGCUGGCGGCGUGCUUAACACAUGCAAGUCGAACGGAAAGGCCCUGCUUGCAGGGUACUCGAGUGGCGAACGGGUGAGUAACACGUGGGUGAUCUGCCCUGCACUUCGGGAUAAGCCUGGGAAACUGGGUCUAAUACCGGAUAGGAGCCAUUUUUAGUGUGAUGGUUGGAAAGUUUUUUCGGUGUAGGAUGAGCUCGCGGCCUAUCAGCUUGUUGGUGGGGUAAUGGCCUACCAAGGCGGCGACGGGUAGCCGGCCUGAGAGGGUGGACGGCCACAUUGGGACUGAGAUACGGCCCAGACUCCUACGGGAGGCAGAAGUGGGGAAUGUUGCACAAUGGGCGCGAGCCUGAUGCAGCGACGCCGCGUGGGGGAUGACGGCCUUCGGGUUGUAGACGCCGUUCGCUAGGGACGAAGCUUUUUGUGACGGUACCUAGAGAAGAAGCACCGGCUAACUACGUG
rnacentral:rRNA from 1 species